rnacentral:rRNA from 1 species
CCUACGGGGGGCUGCAGUGGGGAAUUUUGGACAAUGGGGGCAACCCUGAUCCAGCCAUGCCGCGUGAGUGAAGAAGGCCUUCGGGUUGUAAAGCUCUUUCGGCCGGGAAGAAAUCGCUCAAGCUAAUACCUUGGGUGGAUGACGGUACCGGAAGAAGAAGCACCGGCUAACUACGUGCCAGCAGCCGCGGUAAUACGUAGGGUGCGAGCGUUAAUCGGAAUUACUGGGCGGAAGCCGUGCGCAGGCGGCGAAAGCCCCGGGCUUAACCUGGGGAAUGCGUUUAUGACUGUGGUGCUCGAGUGCGGCAGAGGGGGGUGGAAUUCCACGGGUAGCAGUGAAAUGCGUAGAGAUGUGGAGGAACACCGAUGGCGAAGGCAGCACCCUGGGUCGACACUGACGCUCAUGCACGAAAGCGUGGGGAGCAAACAGGAUUAGAUACCCCAGUAGUC